GUAGGUGGCAAGCGUUGUCCGGAAUUAUUGGGGCGUAAAGCGCGCGCAGGCGGUUCUUUAAGUCUGAUGUGAAAGCCCACGGGCUCAACCGUGGAGGGUCAUUGAAAACUGGAGAACUUGAGUACAGAAGAGGAAAGCGGAAUUCCACGUGUAGCGGUGAAAUGCGUAGAGAUGUGGAGGAACACCAGUGGCGAAGGCGGCUUUCUGGUCUGUAACUGACGCUGAGGCGCGAAAGCGUGGGGAGCAAACAGGAUUAGAUACCCUGGUAGUCCACGCCGUAAACGAUGAGUGCUAAGUGUUAGGGGGUUUCCGCCCCUUAGUGCUGCAGCUAACGCAUUAAGCACUCCGCCUGGGGAGUACGGCCGCAAAGGCUG
rnacentral:rRNA from 1 species